AGUUUUAUGAAGCACAAUAACAUGAGACAUUGAUCAUGAGAAAAGUGAGCAGAGCAAGAACGUUGGCACUGUUCACUUCCUGCACAGUGCAGCUCCCAGCUGCCCACGACUGAAGGUGGUAUCAGGCACCUGUGCCAUUUUGGCCCCAGAAUUAUAUGGGCAGAAGGUCAA